AUUGAACGCUGGCGGCAUGCCUAACACAUGCAAGUCGAACGGUAACAGGCCCUUCGGGGUGCUGACGAGUGGCGGAUGGGUGAGUAAUACUUAGGAAUCUACCCUGUAGUGGGGGACAACCCGGGGAAACUCGGGCUAAUACCGCAUACGCUCUACGGAGGAAAGCGGGGGACCGCAAGGCCUCGCGCUAUUGGAUGAGCCUAAGCCCGAUUAGCUAGUUGGUGGGGUAAUAGCCUACCAAGGCAAUGAUCGGUAGCUGGUCUGAGAGGACGACCAGCCACACUGGGACUGAGACACGGCCCAGACUCCUACGGGAGGCAGCAGUGGGGAAUAUUGGACAAUGGGCGAAAGCCUGAUCCAGCGAUGCCGCGUGUGUGAAGAAGGCCU
rnacentral:rRNA from 1 species